AGUGAACUUCGUUUGCAGUGAAAAUCCUUUUUGAGGCUUUUUCUGCCUCAAAAAGAUUGUAGCGUAAAGCCCGCCCCUUG
rnacentral:sRNA from 2 species